rnacentral:rRNA from 1 species
UAGCACAAUAGUGAAAAGUUGGGAGGUACCUGAAUACGUAGCCUAACCUUCCCCGUUGGACGGUUACCACGGUGGGUUUCAUGACUGGGGUGAAGUCUUAACAAGGUAACCAA